UUCGCCCUUAGAGUUUGAUCCUGGCUCAGGACGAACGCUGGCGGCGUGCUUAACACAUGCAAGUCGAACGGGGUGCCCAUGAAGGAGAUUUCGGUCAACGGAUUGGGUUGCUUAGUGGCGGACGGGUGAGUAACGCGUGAGGAACCUGCCUUUCAGAGGGGGACAACAGUUGGAAACGACUGCUAAUACCGCAUAACAUGUAGGUGUCGCAUGGCAUUUACAUCAAAGAUUUAUCGCUGAGAGAUGGCCUCGCGUCUGAUUAGCUAGUUGGUAGGGUAACGGCCUACCAAGGCGACGAUCAGUAGCCGGACUGAGAGGUUGGCCGGCCACAUUGGGACUGAGAUACGGCCCAGACUCCUACGGGAGGCAGCAGUGGGGAAUAUUGGGCAAUGGGCGCAAGCCUGACCCAGCAACGCCGCGUGAAGGAAGAAGGCUUUCGGGUCGUAAACUUCUUUUGUCAGGGAAGAGUAGAAGACGGUACCUGACGAAUAAGCCACGGCUAACUACGUGCCAGCAGCCGCGGUAAUACGUAGGUGGCAAGCGUUGUCCGGAUUUACUGGGUGUAAAGGGCGUGUAGCCGGGUUGACAAGUCAGAUGUGAAAUCCUGCGGCUUAACCGCAGAACUGCAUUUGAAACUGUUGAUCUUGAGUACUGGAGAGGCAGACGGAAUUCCUAGUGUAGCGGUGAAAUGCGUAGAUAUUAGGAGGAACACCAGUGGCGAAGGCGGUCUGCUGGACAGCAACUGACGGUGAGGCGCGUAAGCGUGGGGAGCAAACAGGAUUAGAUACCCUGGUAGUCCACGCUGUAAACGAUGGAUACUAGGUGUGCGGGGACUGACCCCCUGCGUGCCGCAGCUAACGCAAUAAGUAUCCCACCUGGGGAGUACGAUCGCAAGGUUGAGACUCAAAGGAAUUGACGGGGGCCCGCACAAGCGGUAGAUUAUGUGGUUUAAUUCGAUGCAACGCGAAGAACCUUACCUGAUCUUGACAUCCCCCUGACAGCUUCGUAAUGAGAGUUUUCCUUCGGGACAGGGGAGACAGGUGGUGCAUGGUUGUCGUCAGCUCGUGUCGUGAGAUGUUGGGUUAAGUCCCGCAACGAGCGCAACCCUUAUCUUCAGUAGCCAGCAUUAAGGAUGGGCACUCUGGAGAGACUGCCAGGGACAACCUGGAGGAAGGUGGGGAUGACGUCAAAUCAUCAUGCCCCUUAUGACCAGGGCUACACACGUGCUACAAUGGCGUAAACAAAGGGAAGCGAACACGUGAGUGCAAGCGAAUCCCAAAAAUAACGUCUCAGUUCGGAUUGUAGUCUGUAACUCGACUACAUGAAGCUGGAAUCGCUAGUAAUCGCGAAUCAGAAUGUCGCGGUGAAUACGUUCCCGGGUCUUGCACUCACCGCCCGUCA
rnacentral:rRNA from 1 species